CUGCACCUUUUCCUAGAACAGCAAUUGCUCAGAGGUAGAGUUUUACCCUGGUAUGGGAGUUCAGACUCAGAGCAGCUCCAGCCCACGCAAAGCUCUGGCACUGCUCUUACGGUUCCCUUGGUCGUAUUCUGUCUAUGUUGGGUUGAUCUUAAGCGAGAUCAAUGUCUAGGUAUAGAGUUAAAAAAAAAAAAAAAAGUAUGAUUUUGGUGGCUGUGGAGAGUAAAAUAAAUAUAACUAAGAAAAAGGUGGUGGUGGGGCUGUGUUCCAGCUUGCAUACCUGCAACCUACCUCUCUUAGCUUAAUGCAUGCGUACCUAAAAUAGGGGGAAACACAUAUUGGUCACACAAUAGGACUGAAAGCGAUGACUAGCUUAAUCAUGGGAGGGGGGGAGAUAUCCGGGCUUUUUCAUUACACUUUGCUCCUCCUCUUUUGGCUUUGUGUGAGCUUUUAGUAAAACGUCCAGCCAGGGCUGAGCUCUAAACAUAGGGGCAGGUCAGCAGAGGCUACAAAUCUGUGGGGCUCUGCUGGUUAGUCCAAUUAACAGCAGCGGGAGGACCUGGCUUUGCAGAACUAGUGAUGCACAGGACCCAAGUGUGUGUUCAUCUCUGGGGAGGACAAGCAGCCUCGGCGUGUUUCUUCUGGACGUGUGUCCCAAGGCAAAGCUGGAGGACAAGUCCCACCAAAGCCCCGUUACACCUCCCGAGCGCCUCUGCUUUCGCUGCUUGAAUCAGCAUCGCUUCUGCUAACCCUUGGCCCUGGGCCCACCUGCCUUCUGCAAUGACUCGAGCAACAUCUGCUUUGCCCAUUAGUGACUCUCCUCUCCUGGCCUCCAGCCUGCGCCUUUGCUGCCAUUGAUUAACAGCAAUUUCCUUCCCCAACCUGAAAGCGUGCACUAAAUGGGAUUGUCGUCUCGAAGCAUCGGGCUGUGUGGGGGUGUGCGGGCAUGUAAGCAGCACGGACUCAUUGCCCUGUUAGGCAUCUUGGGAACUCUUUUCUCACUCUGAAGUUGGGAUUGCCUUUCAGCCACUGCCCCUUUGAAUAUAACUUAAUGCCCCUUCAUCUCUGACUGUAAAUCCAGUUCUCUCCUUAAUUUCCCCCCGUUUUGCUUCAGCAGCCGUAGCACUAAAAGUCACUUAGCAGUGACUUUUGCUUCCCUGGAGCACUCUCAUUGCUGUGCAAAGCCCCCUGGAAGAUCUCCCCGUCUGUUUGCUGGAUGCAGACUGCAGUUAUUCCUGAAGCAAUAAAUACUUGCACCUAAUCUAAAGUGUGCUGAAGCCAGGGUGUGGGGCUGGUGUUAAUUACAUUUUGGAAAUCAAGUGUUUGUGAGCCAUCUAUUUGGUUAGAUGCAGUAACCAAAUGGAUGAUUAGGCAAGGUUUUGGGGAGGAAUGUGAUAUCUUUCUAUGCUGUCUGAUAGAGGGCUACUCUUAGAACAGAUGCUGCUUUUUGGGGUGAAAAUCAGUGCUUUUCUUGCAAGAGUCAACAGAGCCUGCUACGAAUGACUGCAGCUGGAUGGGCUCCAGCCAAUGCACUACAGGGUAUGGCAGGAAAAGAGCAAGAAGAUGAAAUACCUUGUAGCUGAUCACCUGGAAUCUUCACUGGUUUCUCCUGCCAUGGAAAACUAAUGUCUGUUACAGUUCGUGAAACACUUACUUGUCUUUCUGGAAAGAAAGGGAAGUUGUUGAAGUGUAACUGUGGUGUUUUUUAUAUAAAUGAUCUCUUGCACCUUUAAAAAUAUUUUUUUACCUGGUUGCAGAUCUGUGACCCUUUAAAUCUCUAGAAAACCAGUUGUAUUCAAAUGUUUUUCAAAUUAGCAAGGAGCCCUGGCAUGCUCCCUGUGUACCCCUUUCUCCUGCUUGGGGCUGUCAACUCCUGACUCUUCCUAAAGCAGAGAUGCUGUCAGUCGUUGCUGCUUUUCUCGUCAUCCACAGCUGAGCCCUGUGCAAAACUCAUGGGGUGGGAGGGAUGCAGCAGCUAUAUCAGCAUCUUAUAGUUCCCUGUCCUUGAGUGCCAACACUACCAGGAUGUCAGCACAUUGUCCGUUGCUACAAGAUGAAUGUGUAGGUGAGGAUACGCUGUCUCAUGGGGAAGACAGCCCAUCAAAAAAGGGAGGUGAUGUACUGAGAAGAGCCUGGGUUUGUGGGACUUCAGCUGCUCUCCUAUUGAACGGACAUGUUUGGUUGGUUUAAUGCAGGAUGCAGCUGCAUUAGACUAUUUCCAAAAGAGGAGAAUAAGAGGAAGCCGUGCCUCCAUGUAGCACAGCAUCAUGGUGUGGAGGCAAACCCGAAGCACCUGAGAACACGAAGGAAUAAUCUGGUGAAGUAUCUGAUGGAGGAGAGAGGAUGGGACUUAGGAUCAGAGAAUAAUCUAUGUCAGAAGAGCCAUUUGGGGGUGUCUAGUCCAACCCUUACCUAAUGCCAUGCCAACUGUGAGCUUACUUUGUACUAAUGCUGCUAGCUUCUGCUUGCAAAUGGCAUUACUGAAAUCAGGUAGGAUGGCUGUCCUGGGAUGUCAAGACUGCUGAUUUCGAAGACCUACUUAGAAAGGCACUUGGCCUGCAGGUUCCUUCCUCCUGCAAAUGGUGUCUGUCACCAAGCUGCUGAAAAUGUGGAGAGGGAGGGGAAAAAAUCCUCUUGAAUGCCUGCAGGUCAAUGUCUUUCCAGGAAAAAAAAAAAGGGAUAAUAGUGUUUGGCUCACACUAGAGAACAAACACAGAACCUGCCUAAAUUGCCAUGUGCAACGGAGGGAAAGGGAAGAGCGUGUUUACCAUGGCAGGCUUGAGGGUGAUGCAGGCUGUCAGAAUUACAAAAUAUUCUUAGAAUUACUAAACAUUAUAGAUGGUAAUUCCACCUCGGAAAGUCUCCCGGUGCAAAUGAAAUUUAUUAAACGUCAGCUGAACACAAAAUGAAACUGGGCAUCAGUGUAGGAAUUAGCUGCUGUUUGGUCCCAGUUUAUGGGGGAUUGCUUGAGGAUGUUUUACCAGACGCUCCAAAGCCUGUAACCUGGUAAGGGACGCUGCAUUGGCAAAAAAGCCAGGUUGGCACAGAGGGGAAGUCAAGGCAGCUUGACUUCCAUUCCAAGUGGAAACCAAACCAAGCCUUGAAACAGUCUGCAAGAGAUGGAAAUGGCAAACAGACACCCAUGGAUGUCAAUGAGAUGUUAGGAGUUGUUCAAAACUGGCAAGGAAGUAAAAGUAAAUAAAUUUUGGGCUAGUGGGAUUAAAAGGAGAAGAUGAAGGCCACCAUCUCCCUUUCCUGCUGCCAAUGUCACUAUCAGGAGACCUGAGCCCUCGGGUAGGUAGAGUUGGUUCACAGUGGAUGAGGUUAAAUGGUUGGGGUUAGACCUUAGAAGGUGUUAGAGGUUCUCAAAGUCAAAAAAAUUUCUGUUGGGACCCUGUGCUAGUAGGGGAGAGGCAUGGUGGGCAAACACUAAUGCCCUCCCAUGUCACUAUUUGAAUGAAAACCAGCCACAGUAAUGCCUUUGGCUUUUGGAUAAGUAGCUUUUGACAGGUUUGAAGAAGCCUGAGGAGCUCUGAGAGCUACCAAACCCUGCUAUUGAGAUAGUGGCAGCUUCCAGAGAGGCUGCAGGAAGACAACUCAAGCCAUUGCAAAGAUGCAGGUUGACCUAAGCCCUGGCAGCAGUGAGGGGGGAUAAUGGAAUUAAUACUGCUUGGUGGGCAAUCGUGGGAAAACACCUAGUCCAGCCUUUUCUGCUCACAGCUGGCAAGUUUUAAACAUUGAAUCUCACACAGAUGAGAGACGUUUGGCUCCCAUGAAGGUAUUAUAUCUGUCCUGCAAGACAGACUGAAUGGGAGACAUCUAAACGUGUACAUGGAGUGCAUUAAUGGGAUUAAAACUGGCUGGUGAGGCUGGACAUCUCUCUAAUUGAAAAUAACCAGAGGCUGUGAUUCCCAUAGCAAGGUUCUGGCCUGAGUUGAUUCUUUGCCAUGUGUUACUUGCUAUUUUUUAUUUAAAAAAAAAAAAAAAAAAAAAAAAUUGGUGGUUUUUGCGUUACACUUCUGUGCUGCUUUGUGGGGAAAAGCCUUUGCCAGUGUUGUUGUCAUGUGUUUAUGAAUUUUCAUGCUGAUGAGCUUUUUUCCAGCACUGGCCCUGGUCCUGCAGCAGAAGUGCCAUUUGGUCACAGCGCCGGGGUUGGCCAGGCUGCGUCCAGCCCUGUGUCACACAAUGGCUGCGGGUCCUCAGCUGCUGCUCAGGCUCCCCAUCCCAAGACAUGACUUGUUCCCGCAUCCUUGCACCGGUAGUUGUUGUUAUGGCUUCUUUUUUACCUCGCUCUGACAAAGGGUUAUUUUAGAAGGAUGAAUAAAAAAACCCUUCAACUUUAUGGAAGUGGUCAUGUAAAUUAGAGGUUUCACAUAAAUAAAAUUAAGAUAGCGCUCAGAAAAGCCAAGUUAUGCAGAAUUUGGGUAAAUCCUGCUGAAGCUGCCUGGUUUGUCUGCUGCCACUGCUGAGGCUGGCUGUGGAGCUGAAUAACAGCCUUGGGACCAAGCCAAGCAAAUGCUAUUCUUGAAAAGGAAAAAACAAGGAAAACCAAGGAAAAAAACUAGCAGGGACGCCAGGAUCAAACAUCUGCUAGUGGCCUCGGCAUUGCAGGCUGAGGUUGCAGCAUGGUGGGGAUUAAAGCAGGGGCUGCAGCUCUCUGCUGUCUUGCAGGUACCACCUCAGCUGCUGAAAACCCCUUGAGAAACCUCUUGCAUGGCAAACCCUGGUGUCCAGCUGCCUCCUUGCCAACUACGGAGGGAGCAAUGUCAUAGACAGCAGGAGUGUGCUAGGUCAUUACUUCUGGGACUGUAAAUCAGCACUGAGGAUGGGGAUUUAAAAGAAAAAAGCCCGUGUGGUGGGAUGGAUGGCCUCAGUUGAACUUCCAAAUGGUGGUUGUUUAGGCUAAAGUCCCACUCGCACAUCAACUUUAAAUGGAUGCUGAACAGGUAUUUUCUGGGUAGAUCAAGACCUUGAUGACUGUUCUGAGAAAAAAAAACCAGGAUCUGCCAUGACAUCUGCCUGGAUAAAGUUUAAUGAUGGAAAACUUUGGGUAGGGAGGCACUCUUGGACCAACACUGUAGCUACAGCAGGUUGCUGGUGGCCAUGUCCAGGUGAGUUGAGGCAUCCCUGAGGAUGGAGAUCCCCCACUGCUUGGGGACCUGUCCCAGGGAUGCCACGCUCACACAGGGAAGAUCACUCUUUCCUAUGCAGUGCUUAAGGCACCCAGGUAGUAUACCAAGAAGCACAACUGUCACUGCUUAAAUUUGUGGUUUAUAUUCCAUAAAGAGUCUGAAAGUCUUGUUUAAACCUGGUGUCCCUUUGAAAAAAUCAAAUCCUGCUCAUAGAGUGACAAGAGUAUGACCUUGUUGAACCGUGAUUCCCUAAGAGCAACCAAACCACUAAUGAUAGACAUGUGGUUAUUUUUGGAUGUGGAGUUCCUAUUGCUUGGUUUGUUUUCAGUUUUUCUUGAGUGAGUUUGGCCAUGGAGGUCUGUGGGGUUUUUUUUUCUGGAUUUGAUAACGGGGACCAAAUUGAGACACUUGAAACAUCAGUGUGGUUUGCUACUUGAUUCAACAGACUUCUGAAAAAUUUUCUCACAGAUGGAAUUUGGGGGAAGGUAAGGGUUUGCCUUUCAAAUUUAGUCAUGACAGGGGAUGAAAAGCAUUGAAGAGCAGAAAGCAUACAGAAAAAAAACCCAAAAUAUGCAGAAAAUUUUUACUAAAUCAUGGGCUGGCUGCAGAAUUAUUUCCUUGCUUGCUAAAAAUCUAGAGCGACUCAGCCCUCUUGUUUGGUUUUGGCAUGGAGGGUGCAGACUGGACUUGCUGUCCAGGAGGCUAGCAGGUCUAAACCCAACUGAGAUGCUUCCAAAAAGAUUUUGUCUUUAGAGGAAAAGCUGAUGCCACUUCACAAAGACAUGCUGUGAUGAUCUGGAUAACCUAGAGGAGAGAUGGCAAAGAUGGAAUAUGCUCAUAUGACAAAUUUGAGGCAUGGGAUCCAUAUGGGAGGUAUUGAAUGGAAAAAAGGGAUGGGGAGCUGGUGGAAGGAGAGUGAUGCUGAAGGGGACCUGGGGUCCCAAGGGGUGGUAAGCUGGUGCAGAGGCAGCGGUGAAGGUCAGUCUUGUCCAGGGCUGCGCUGGCCAAACCGCAGGCAGCAGGUCUGAGGAAGGCAUAAUUCUCUCUGCUCAGCACUGGGGAUGCAAAUCUGGAUACCAUGAACAGUUUGGUGUCUCCAGUACAAGAAAGGCAUCUACAAACUGGAGUGAGUCCAGUGUAGGGCCCCAUGGAAACUGGGGCACGGAAAGUAGCCCAGGGUUUUCUUUCAAGGGAAGAGUAAAUGUUUUUUUUUUUUUUUUUCUUCUUCUUUUUAAGGUAACAGGCACAGUAUUUUGAAAUGGGUGUAAGGAAAUCCUCCCUGCAAUACGUAUUUCUCUUCCACAAAACCCAGGAAACCUGCAUAUGCCUCUUUUUUUUUUUUCAUCUGUCUUCCAGAGAUGAUGGCAAGCGUUUGUGCACAGCUGCAAAGUCGAGGUAGUGCGUGAGGACUGACUCAAAGCACAGAGGUUUGAAUGACUGAUUUUAUUUAGAAAGUUUCAAAUCCACUUACUUUCCAACUGUGCUGGUUGUGCUCAUUUAUUGACUUCCUUCUCCACCUCAUUUACUGUGUGUCAGAUGUUAACACCCAGGAAAUGUGUGCUUGCAUAACUGAAACUUUUGCAACUUGAAUGUUCAGUGGUAACUUUGGCUUCUAGGUUUUUUUUUUUUUUAAAUUGUGCUUUGCAGCCUCCACCAUGCGUGCAGAUCUAUAGUAAUAGCGUGCUUUUAAUUCCUAGGCUGAGUAAAACAGACCCACACUCUUCCUCUGACAGAUGAUAAAAGCUCUGAAAAACAGCACUGUAUAGCGUGGGAAUUGGCUGGGGGGGGGGGGGGGGUGGAGGGGGUUAAACAAAGCACUUCGAAAGAAAAUGUGAAGCAAUGACAAGAAGCCAGGCUGCACAGAUAAGAGCCAGGUCUGCUCUGCUUUUGAUUAUUGAAUUCACUUGUUUCAUUUGGGUAAUCAGCAUUGUCUAAAUACCAAAGAUAAAUACCUUUGGUAGCCAAGUGCUCAUUUCAAGAUCACUUAUCGCAUGCCGUAUUAGAAAAAAAUAAUGAUUAGCUUUAUAUUUUUAAUAAUACUUAGGGAAUAAUCUUGCUGCGAACCUGUGAUUUCAGUAUAAGGGUUUCAUUGUUUGGAGGGUGCAAGUAAAGAAGGAACAUGCGUUGCAUCCUGUAAAAGCAUUGCUGGUUUUGAUUUUUAAUUUGCAGCUAGCAUUUUCCAGGGCAUGACUGUCCUUGCUCCUGUGUGCAGGAGCAGGGAUCUAAUCCCCUGGGGAUCUACUCCCUAUGCAGGGAUCUAGUCCUCCAGCUCCCAGCAUUGCUCCCUCCUCUCCCAGCUCCUCAUGCUGCAAGAUCUCAAGGCUAGGCUCUGCAACAGGGCCAAGUUAUGCAUUUGCACAAGUGAUCUCCCCCAUGCAACCAGCCGAGCUGUUGGGUCUUGGGAGAUGAUGGCUGCACCAAUGGUGCCGAACUGCUUAUUUUUUGAUGCGUUGGAGUAUCACAUACCCCAGCACCAAGGGAUUGUCUCAGCAUUGUCUAUGCAGACAUCAGGAUACGAAGAGUCUUGUCUGAGCAUUUUGACUUGAGACAGACAUUACUUGUAAUGGCAUAUAAGUUGGGAGACCCUAAUUUUGAGCUAAUAAAUGUGGGGUUUUAGUGCAAGCCCCGUAUGCUGGAGGGUAAGGGGGCUCUGCUUCCACCUCUCGGUGAAAAGGGCAAACAGCUACAGAGCCACAGCACCCAGUCGAGCAGAUGCUCAGCUCACCUGGAGACCUCGAGCUGUCCACAGACAAGGGGAAAAGGUGGGCACAGACCUCAGAGUCCUGGCACAGGUCAUCCAGAGACCAAGGGGGAUCUUUGUCCCCCUUCGCUGCUUGGCUAGAAAAUGCCAUGGCUGCCCUGGUUCUUCGGCAGGAGCAGACUCCUGCUGAUGGGGAGGUCACCCAAGUCCAUCUCGGGGCUCCCAGGCUGGAAGUUGCUGUUGCCUGUCCAAGUGAGAUUAGCAAAUGGUAGGGGAAAGUAUCAUUUGCCUGUGGAUUUAGGAGGAGAAGAAAUGCCCUGUUGUCUAGGCCAGUACGAACACACAGUGGGAACUACAGAGAGCCACCAGGCAGGGCAGCCUCUACUCCAGAGUUAGCAUGGGGAGGAGCAUCAAUUGUUCUUCUUAUGGAGACCUGAUGUUGCAUUGUCUUGGGCAGCGUAUGGAGAGAGAGGCUAUUUGAACGAUGCUGUCACCAUCUGCUACAAGGCUGACAGUGUAGUUUCCUACUGAAUCUUCCGUAAUCCAGGGAGCAGAACAGAUGCUCCACUGUGGACCUAACUCAUUUUUAGACAGUUACAGUUCUUGCACGCUGUAAGAGCAAAAUUAUUUCCAGAUUAAACACACAUAUCUGAGGUGUUAUUUAGAGGAUGCAAUUAAUUGCUUUUUGGCUGAUUGCAAUCUCAAAAGAAUAGAUGCAUAUAAAGAUAUGAGGUGAGAUGGGUUAAGAUUGCGAUCUAGUGAGGUGUUGAAACUGUGUGCAGUGAUGAGAGAGUUACAGGGACUUUAGUGGCUUCUGUAUUUAAUAGUUGUACAGAUACAGCUUUCCUCAAAGAGAAGCACUGACUUGCAAGAGUCCUCCUUUUCAGUAAGCAAAGCUGCUAUAACUAAGUCCUGCAAUGCUACAAGCAGGCUUGUAUCUACCAUACGGUCACACACGCUGUCAUUGCCUCAUCUUUAGAAAACCAUGUGAUGUUCUGGAAUGACCCCUGAACACUGAAUUGUGAUGAAUUGUUGUCCUAAAUUUGCAAUAAUACAUCAAAGAUGGUUCAGUAUCAGUACUUUGCUUAGAGAACAUUGUGAGUGUUGCCUGCAUAUGUAGCAUGCUGAAAACCUUAUCUGAAACCACAAAACAGAACAGCUCUGAAACAAAAUUUGUGCCCUGGCCAAAAAAUGUGGAAAUAAGAGCUUGUCAGACCUUCCCUUAGGAUGUUCAGGGUGCAAUGCUGUGUUUGCUGCAUGAUGAGUAAAUGCCACAAUGAGAAACAACGCAAAGGUUCAGUGGUGGAAUCAGAAACACAAUUUAUAACCUGGGUUGGGUGAGAACAAAUUACUGGUGGUGGGUAAAGCUUCUCCAACACCAGGGAAAAAUGUGCCCUGAAACAGCAAGAUGACCAGUGAGAAAACAAUUUGGUGUUAAGUGGUUUUCCACGCAGAAGAUUCACAGCCCGGCGGGAUUGAUGGCAAUUUGCAGAUGAUAGCAGAGCCUAAGGGAUUGUGGAAGUGGGGUCACAAGCUUGGAAGUGAAACUGGAAGUAGGAUCACCAGCAAAAAGGGUUUGGGAACUUCUGCUCUGCGGUUGGUGGUGGUGGUCAGAGCCCUCACAACGUGCAAAUCUCUCAAAGGGAAUGUCUCAACCACCAGGUCAUGUUACCUUGCCAGAUGUAACCACAAGCCUCAGGAAGGGGGAUCUCAGGCUGGACACAAGAGGAGAGAGUUAUAUCCCAGAUCAGGUAGUAAGCCAAAGAUGGAAAAUAUAGGUUCAAGUCCCUGAGCUGAAUUACAGCGGGAAUUUAAGUCUAUGUAACCUCCCAGAAGGCUUUUAAGCACCAGGCUGCUGGUUAUUCCUACAGGCUUCAUGAAAAGCUUCAGUUUUAAUAAACCUAAACUUUUCCAGGAGCAACAUUUUGUUGUGAAAAAUCCUCAAAAGAACCUGAAAUAGUAGGCUUGCUAAGAAAAGGCGUGUAUUAUUUCCAGCA